UGGUGAGAUGAUGGCAAUGAUCUUUUAGGACUGACCUGAAAUGAAGAGAAAACUAAAACAGCU
rnacentral:snoRNA from 1 species